UACGGAGGGUGCAAACGUUGCUCGGAAUCAUUGGGCGUAAAGCGCACGUAGGCGGUUCGGUAAGUCGGAUGUGAAAUCCCUCGGCUCAACCGAGGAAGUGCAUCCGAAGCUGCCGAGCUUGAGUACGGAAGAGGGUCUCGGAAUUCCCGGUGUAGAGGUGAAAUUCGUAGAUAUCGGGAGGAACACCAGUGGCGAAGGCGGAGACCUGGGCCGAUACUGACGCUGAGGUGCGAAAGCGUGGGGAGCAAACAGG
rnacentral:rRNA from 1 species